UACGUAGGGUCCGAGCGUUGUCCGGAAUUAUUGGGCGUAAAGGGCUCGUAGGCGGUUUGUCGCGUCGGGAGUGAAAACACGGGGCUUAACCCCGUGCCUGCUUCCAAUACGGGCAGACUAGAGGUAUGCAGGGGAGAACGGAAUUCCUGGUGUAGCGGUGAAAUGCGCAGAUAUCAGGAGGAACACCGGUGGCGAAGGCGGUUCUCUGGGCAUUACCUGACGCUGAGGAGCGAAAGUGUGGGGAGCGAACAGG
rnacentral:rRNA from 1 species